UCUGGAGGAAGGACCCAGUCGCGGACGC
rnacentral:sRNA from 1 species